AUGGAAUUCAAAAUCUUGAGUUUUCUUCAAAAUUACAGAAAUGAACAAUUUAAGCAAAUGGUCAGAGGGGAGCAGGAGGCUCACAGCUGGAGAAAUUGUAUUGAAUCUGGACUUCUGCAAGCAAGCCCCUCAUCUGAACAAAUCUUUUAAAGAAGAAUGCCUCAGGAUCACAGAAGAAAAAACAAGAAGACCAAGGAGAACAGGAAGGAUGACAGGGAGGGAUACAGAUUAAGAAACAUCUGGACAGCUUAAUGUGAAAAUACUCCUACAUGCGAGAAAAAGUGACAGAAAGGAAAGUAUAAAUCUCACUUGUUCCCCACC